UACGUAGGGAGCAAGCGUUGUUCGGAUUUACUGGGCGUAAAGGGCGCGUAGGCGGCGCGGUAAGUCACUUGUGAAAUCUCUGAGCUUAACUCAGAACGGCCAAGUGAUACUGCAGUGCUAGAGUGCAGAAGGGGCAAUCGGAAUUCUUGGUGUAGCGGUGAAAUGCGUAGAUAUCAAGAGGAACACCUGAGGUGAAGGCGGGUUGCUAGGCUGACACUGACGCUGAGGCGCGAAAGCUAGGGGAGCAAACGGG
rnacentral:rRNA from 1 species